rnacentral:lncRNA from 1 species
GUGAUACUAAUGGAGAUGGGAAUGCUGACCUUAAGAGUGUAAUAUUAUGAUGAAAAGAAGAAUGAGGAGCAUAUGAGAUUAUGCCUAGAUUUUCUAGAAGAGCAAAGAGCAGAAGCCAACAUACGGAAUGAAGCUUAUAAGCACAUAAUGGCUAAGUAUCAUGAUCAGAAAGGUCCGACCUAGGCCAUUUUUCCUGGGUGAACUAGUAAUGAGGAGAGCUGGUAUUACCAGAGGAGGAGCAGGCGUUGG